rnacentral:misc_RNA from 1 species
UCAAACUUGGUCAUUUAGAGGAAGUAAAAGUCGUAACAAGGUCUCCGUUGGUGAACCAGCGGAGGGAUCAUUACAGAGUUAUGAUACUCCCAACCCUUUGUGAACCGUACCGUCGUUGCCUCGGCGCAUAACCUGGCGGUCGUUUUUCCGGUACCUACCCUGGAGUCACCUACCCUGUAGAUGGCUACCCUGAAGCUACCCGGUAGACCGCCAGCCGCGUCAAAGGACCAGUAAACUCUUGUUUUUAUACGGUGUAUUUCUGAGUUGGUACAUAAAUUCGUUAAAACUUUCAACAACGGAUCUCUUGGUUCUGGCAUCGAUGAAGAACGCAGC